rnacentral:rRNA from 1 species
CAGUAGCCGCGGGAAUACGUAGGGGGCGAGCGUUGUCCGAAGUUACUGGGCGUAAAGCGCGCGUAGGCGGCUUCUUAAGUCUGAGGUGAAAGGUUCAACGCUUAACGUGAACAGUGCCUUGGAUACUGGGGAGCUUGAGUAUGGGAGAGGGCAGUGGAAUGGCUGGUGUAGCGGUGAAAUGCGUAGAUAUCAGUCGGAACACCCAUGGCGAAGGCAGCUGCCUGGCCUAAUACUGACGCUGAGGUGCGAAAGCGUGGGGAGCGAACGGGAUUAGAUACCCGAGUAGUCCCUGUCUCUUAUA